GGAGAGGUAGCGUAGUCCGGCCUAACGCGCCCGCCUGGAGAGCGGGUGAGCCCUCACAAGGGGCUCCGAGGGUUCGAAUCCCUCCCUCUCCGCCA
rnacentral:tRNA from 1 species